AGCAGGAAUGAAAAGGAAUGGAUG
rnacentral:sRNA from 1 species